rnacentral:rRNA from 1 species
CCUACGGGGGGCAGCAGUCGAGGAUCUUCGGCAAUGGACGAAAGUCUGACCGAGCAACGCCGCGUGUGCGAUGAAGGCCUUCGGGUUGUAAAGCACUGUCGAGGGGAAACAAGCCGUAAGGUUGAGUGACCCCUGGAGGAAGCACGGGCUAAGUUCGUGCCAGCAGCCGCGGUAAGACGAACCGUGCAAACGUUAUUCGGAAUCACUGGGCUUAAAGGGCGCGUAGGCGGGUAAUCAAGUCAAUGGUGAAAUCCUCCAGCUUAACUGGAGAAGUGCCUUUGAUACUGGUUGUCUAGAGGGAGGUAGGGGCAUGUGGAACUUCAGGUGGAGCGGUGAAAUGCGUAGAUAUCUGAAGGAACGCCAGUGGCGAAAGCGAUGUGCUGGACCUCUUCUGACGCUGAGGCGCGAAAGCUAGGGGAUCAAACGGGAUUAGAUACCCCGGUAGUCCUAGCCCUAAACUAUGGUACUAGAUUGUGGACUUUCAUGGGUUCACAGUCGAAGCAAAAGUGUUAAGUACCCGCCUGGGGAGUAUGGUCGCAAGGCUGAAACUCAAAGGAAUUGACGG